UUCUUAUCAAGAGCGGUGGAGGGACUGGCCCUAUGAAACCCGGCAACCUUGAUUCAUUCAAAAGGUGCUAAAUCCAGCAGAAGUAUUUCUGAGAGAUAAGAA
rnacentral:ncRNA from 2 species